rnacentral:tRNA from 1 species
GUUCAAGUAAUUUAAUAAAAAUAUUGACCUUGUAAGCCAACAAUGAGGGAAAAAUUCUUCCUAGAAUA